AGGUGCUGGCAAUAUUGGGUGUCUGGUGAGGGCUGGUUUCCUAGUCCGUAGACGGUGCCUUACAGCCCUGUCCUCCUGCAGUGGAAGUGGCCAGCUAGCUCUCUGGGGCUUCUUUUCUAAGGGCACCGAUCCCAUUCAUGAGCGUGCUACCCACAUGACUACAUCACUUCCCAAAGACCGUCCCUCCCACUACCGUCACCUUGGGGGUUGACAUAUGAAUUUGGGGGGGGGACACACAAACAUUUGGGCCACAGCAUACGGUAACUGUGUUUAACAUUUUGAGGAGCUGUCAAACUGUUUUCCAAACUCACUGUAUCACUUUACGGAAACCAGGAAUGUGCGAGCGUUCUAAUUUCUCCACGUUCUUGCCAACACUUAUUAUCAUCUUUUUGCUCCUAGCCACCCUAGUGGAUGUGAAGUGGUAUCACUUUGUGUGUCAGUUGUGCCUCCCUGGGGACUAAUGACGUCGUACUUCUUUCUAUGUGCUCUUUGGCCUGUGAGAGAAAUGUCUGUUCAGAUCUUUUCUCAUUUUUAAAUUGGGUUAUUUGUCUUUUCGUUGUUUUUAAUAUUGAUGAAUUCCACUGUAUAUUUUGUUUUGUUGCUUGUGCUUUUUUUGCUGUCAUAUCUAAGAAAGCUUUACCUAACCCAGGGGUCACAAAGAUUUAUUCCUGUUUUCUUCUAACAGUUUCAUAGUUUUAGCUCUUACCUUCAGUUCUGUGAUUCAUUUGGAGGUAGUUUUUGUGCAUGGUAGAAGGAAGAUGCCCAAACAUCAUUAUUUUGCAUGCGGAUCUACUUAUUUUAGUCCUGUUUGUUGAAAAGGCCAUUCUUUCCCCAUUGAGUCAUCUUGGCAUCCUUGUGGAAAAUCAGUUGACCAUGAAUGUGAGGGUUUAUUUCUAGACUUUUAAUUAUUUUUCAUUGAUCUAAGUAUCCUUAUUUCCAAUUCCAUACUAUCUUUUUAAAAAAAUAAAUUUUAUUAUAUAUAUUUGAGGUUUACAACAUGAUUUUAUGGGAUAUAUAUAGAUAGUAAAAUGGUUCUUACAGUGAAGCAGAUUAACAUAUCUGUCAUCUUACAUAGUUUUUUGAUUGCUGUAGCUUUGUAUACAGCAAUAUAUGUGUUACGUUUUAGAAUUGUUAGUCCUCCAACUUCGUGCUUCUUUUUCAAGAUUAAUUUGCUUUCUCUGGAUUUCUUAAAUUUUCAUAUGAAUUUUAGGAUUAAUUUGUCAAUUUUGCAAAGACGAUAACUAAGAUUUUGAUAAACAGCUGCAAUCUGCAUGCAAAUCAAUUUGAGAAGUAUUGUCAUCUUAGUAAUAUUGUCUUCCCAUCCUUAAGCAUGGCAUUUUUCCAUUUACUUAGGUCUUUUUAAAUUUCUUUGAACAAUAUUUUGUAGUUUUUCAGCAUACAAGUUUCACACUACUUCUGUUCAUGUGCCCGUUCUUGAGCUAAUCCCAGUGGCCAGGGAGAUGGAGCACCCUGAAGUCUGGUCCUGACUCGUGUGCCUGCCCCCUGCAACUGGGGGGGGGGGUGGCCCUUCCCCAGCUACGCAGACUGAAAAUGGGAAAUGGGAGAUCUUUGAAGGGGUCGUUAUAGUGCUCCUAACAGAGGCAUAGAGGGGCUGGGUGCUCAACAGGCAAAAGUUAGAAAGAAGAAAAGUUAUCUUAUAAUAACUUAUAAAAACUCUUAAAUAAUUGAAGCUUCAGUAAAGGUUUCUAAAGUGAUAAGGAGGAAAUAGAGUCAGCAUUGAAAAAGGUAUUGUCCAUCUGAUUACCCUAAAAACAAAGAAAUGAAAGAUGAAAGAAAUCACUGAGCUCCCUGGCAUUUUACCUAGAGAGGUGAUUUCUUGGAAUCUUAAGCUCAGCAAAGGCAGAACAUGAGGGGUUUAAGAAAAGACAGGUGCAAGAGCAUUGCCUGUGGUCAGCAAAUGGCGGUAGGUGGCUCUCCCUGCCAGGCCUGGGAAGGUUAUUCUAACCACACUUCCCCCCACCCGACCCACCAAGUCCAGCUGAACCCUCUUCUCCCUCACAUCCCUUUCCUGAGGCCCAUCCUUAACGCAGCCCGCAUCUCACUGUGUUCUAACCAUCACUCAGUUUUGCAUUCACUGCUCUGCACGGCUGUGAACUUCAGAGCGAAGACCAUGUCUUAUGUGCUUAUCUGCUAGUGGGAAUAAUUACCGUGCCGAAGCCAUAGGUUAUUGUAAGAAUGAAAUGGCCCGACAAAGAUGAUGGUGAUAGCUAACAUCAACUAAGUGCUUACCUGUGUCAGCCGCUGCAACUACUAUGAUCCCUCUUUCAGAGAUGAUAAAACUGAAAUGAUGCACAGACCUAGCAAGUGGUGGAGCCAGGACUCUAACACAGGUGGUCUGACCGCCCAGCUGGGCUCUUUUCCACCACGUCAAAGCAUUCAGCACCGUGCCUGGCACUGAGCGAGCCCUCAACAAACGUGAGCUGCUACGUGCAGUCAGAGGAAGAGAAUCUUUGCUCCUGUCCCAAGCUGCCAUUUAUGUGCCAGCCCCACGGCCCCCAGUCUGGACCAUUGGUGACUGGUGCAGAAUGGACAGCCCCCUAUUCUAUUUUCCACGUGUAUUGGCGGCACAGAGCCGGCUGCUGUAACAGAGUUAGACCCCAGACUCUCUGUUUCUUGUUGAAGUUAUUGUCCAGGUGUUUGUGGUCAGUAAAUAGCUUGUGCAAAGAUCCAAGGCCUUUCCAUUCUGAGCCUUCACAUCCCCUAGGGCAGAGGCCAACCAGCUUUUUCCGGAAAGGGCCACAUAGUAUAUUUUCAGCUUUGAAGGCCAUAUGGGCUCAGUCACGACUACGGAAUUUUGUUGUGGUGUGAAAACAGUUGCAGACAACACAGAAAGCCAGAAGUGAAGCAUUACUUCUUCUUACGGUUUAUUGGCAAGAACGAGUCCCCGGCCUCACCUAGAUGCGGCAGGGCCCAGGACGUGUAGCCGCUGGCUGGGCCACUGCUCGCCAGUGACUCUGCCCCCAGGAAGGGGAGCGUGCGUUGGGUGUCAGCUGGUGCCCCUGCCACCUGCCCUGGCAGCGGCUCCUGGGCUGCAGUGAAUACACCGAGAAUGUUACAGGUGCCACGUCCCUAUUUUCAUUAAUGGGUUGGACUUUCUUAAGUUUAUUUGUACCAUACUUGCCUGCUGCCAAGAAAUAAAAGUUCUUUUCGGAGAACGGCUCCUUGGAUGCCAGCUGCCUCAGCAGCCACGUUCGGUGUGACGUGGGAAGGACUCCAGGCUGGGGAUUGGAGGAAACAGCCACGCUGGCCUUCAGGUUCCUCUCUGUAAGACUUGGAGUAGGGAUCACUUUUUGAUUUCGUUUUACUUAUGUAAUUGUGGCGGUGGCACCCGCAUGGGAUCAGGACAGCGUGGUUAAAUAGGUGGAUUCCGUGGGAUCAGGACAGCGUGGUUAAAUAGGUGGAUUACGUGAGAUCAGGGCAGUGUGGUUAAAUAGGUGGAUUACGUGGGAUCAGGGCAGUGUGGUUAAAUAGGUGGAUUACGUGGGAUCAGGGCAGUGUGGUUAGAUAGGUGGAUUACGUGGGAUCAGGGCAGUGUGGUUAGAUAGGUGGAUUCCGUGGGAUCAGGAUAGCGUGGUUAGAUAGGUGGAUUCCGUGGGAUCAGGACAGCGUGGUUAGAUAGGUGGAUUCCGUGGGAUCAGGACAGCGUGGUUAAAUAGGUGGAUUACGUGAGAUCAGGGCAGUGUGGUUAGAUAGGUGGAUUCCGUGGGAUCAGGGCAGUGUGGUUAGAUAGGUGGAUUCCGUGGGAUCAGGGCAGUGUGGUUAAAUAGGUGGAUUACGUGGGAUCAGGGCAGUGUGGUUAAAUAGGUGGAUUACGUGAGAUCAGGGCAGCGUGGUUAGAUAGGUGGAUUCCGUGGGAUCAGGGCAGCGUGGUUAGAUAGGUGGAUUCCGUGGGAUCAGGGCAGUGUGGUUAAAUAGGUGGAUUCCGUGGGAUCAGGGCAGUGUGGUUAGAUAGGUGGAUUACGUGAGAUCAGGGCAGUGUGGUUAGAUAGGUGGAUUCCGUGGGAUCAGGACAGUGUGGUUAGAUAGGUGGAUUACGUGAGAUCAGGGCAGUGUGGUUAGAUAGGUGGAUUCCGUGGGAUCAGGACAGCGUGGUUAGAUAGGUGGAUUCCGUGGGAUCAGGACAGUGUGGUUAAAUAGGUGGAUUACGUGGGAUCAGGGCAGCGUGGUUAGAUAGGUGGAUUCCGUGGGAUCAGGACAGCGUGGUUAGAUAGGUGGAUUCCGUGGGAUCAGGACAGCGUGGUUAGAUAGGUGGAUUCCGUGGGAUCAGGACAGCGUGGUUAGAUAGGUGGAUUCCAUGGGAUCAGGGCAGUGUGGUUAGAUAGGUGGAUUCCGUGGGAUCAGGACAGCGUGGUUAGAUAGGUGGAUUCCGUGGGAUCAGGACAGCGUGGUUAGAUAGGUGGAUUCCGUGGGAUCAGGACAGCGUGGUUAAAUAGGUGGCUUCUGAAGUCAGAUGGGCCAGGCUUUGACUUGGUUCCCACUGCUCGAUGGAUAUUUGACCUUGGACAAGUAUUCCAGCUUGGUGUCUCUAUUUCCUCAUCUGUAAAAUGGGUUUAGUUAUAGUGUUUUAAAUUAUUAAUUACUUUUAAUAGUUACUGGGACAGUAUAUGAAAAGCAUUUAAAACCAAGCCCAGCACUAAGUAAGCACUUAGUAAAUGGCAGCUGUUAAACCACCGACAUUGUUUUCCCCAAUACUUUAAACAGAUAAAAGAGGAGCCGGUUGUCAAAUUAGGGCCUCCCUAUAUCUCCCGGAUGCAGCCCCCAUCCCAGGGUUCUGGGGACCCCUGAACUCCCUGAGCUCAGAAGUCCCUUUUGGCUCUCAGGGACUCUGAGAUCUCGGGGCCUUCGUUCAGUUCUAGCCUUCCAGGCAGGUCUGUGCCUCAGUGGCCCCACCUGUGCCAUGGAGUUGGCCAUCCCUGUCCUUCCGCUGCCAGCAGGUCCUGUGAGGAGAAGGGGGAUGUGUGGAGCACGCUUCACAGGAGCAUUGAGAGAAGGGGGGGUGUCAUGGCCCCAGACAUCUGCAGCACCCGCAGGGAGACAGGAGAGGGACGCCCCCGCUGGACCUGGGUCCCCCCACCUCUGCUGUCUGCCUGUCGGCCAGAUUAGUCCAGUGCCCCCACCCUCACUGCCGAGGGCGCUGGAGAUGGAGCAGGGUGUAUAGACGCUCCGUGAGCACCAGCUUUCCGCCCUGUCGCCUCACGCACCGCUGUGUCCCAGCUCCUAGCACCGUGCCUGGCACCUCACGCUGGGGGAUAAAUGGAUGGUGACGGCCCCACCCUCUGGUUGCACAGAUAGAGAAGCCAAGACGCUGAGUUGGGACAUUUCUUCACUCCAGCUAGAAUGGCUCCUUAUUUGAAUCUGAUUUAAUUGUUACUUUGCUUCCUAUGGGAAAACUCCACAGACGCUGUCUGGGGUAACUAAUGCUCCCAAGUAGAACUUUAAAAUGACCCUUUUUCCUCCCCACUUCAUCUUAUCCGUUUGGUUUGCAUUAAACUCGUAAACUCAAACGUCCCAAGAGGUAAGGCUUCUGUCCUCUGCCUGUCACAUCCCACCCGUCCCCAGCCUGGCACCAGGCAGAUGGCCGAGGCCCAGUCAAGGGCUUUUGAUUGAACGGAGUUUUUGCAAAGUCCCCUGUGUAAGGAAAGGCACAGUGAGGGACAGCAGAGCCUCUGGGCCUGGAAGGCGGGUGGACCUGGGUCCAAACCCCAGCUCUGGCAAUGGUUAACGUGACUGUGGGCAAGUAACUUCGUCUCUCUGAGUCUGAGUCCUUAUCUGUAAAAUGGAGAUGCCAGCACCUCCUUGAGAAGAAUGUGUUUGAAGAUUUGCUAGAAUGCCAUCACUGGACGGUCUAGCCCCGGUGGCUGCGGUGGGUGUUCUGUCCCUAGCAGUUGCAGUCGCAGACAGGAUUCCAGAGGAGUGGCACUGUCAUACAGCCCCAGCCCUGCGCUGGAGGCCGAGCCCUCCACCCCUUCCCAGGGCGUCUGGACGGUUCCUGUAGACACGUGCUUGGCCUGCAGAGGUGUGGAGGGGUGCCACCUCUCAGUAGCACGGCUGGAUGGGCUGUCACAGCGGGGUGGAAACAAUCUUGCGCAGCCCUGUUUUUGAUGACCUAUUGAUUUUUUUCCUGUUGUUUCUGGAUGGCUUGAAGAUACACCUUGCUUAGUCUGUGCCAUUGAUAGUCAAGCAUUUGAAUUAGCUACCAACCAAUUUGAGAAUUAAGAGAUUCUUACCUAACAAUCCAGAUUUGCAGCUUCCCUUUAAAAGCAGGAAUUGCCGGCACCGGCCCCUGAGGUGUGGAGUUUGCCACCCCAGGCCACUGCAGUGUGGGAUGGGCUUUGGGCGUUUGCUUUGCUCCUGGUCUUUCUCUGCACUUGCUCCAGGGAGGGGUGCAAAUGCCUCUCCACCUUCUCUUCCUUGGCUGGCUCUGAAGGCCACCUCUUCCUCCAGACACGUCCAAGCCAGAGGAAACCUCCUCGGGGACGUGAUGCUGGCUGAGCAGAGUGGAAGGCACUUGGUCCUUAUCUUCUUUGAGCCUCAUCUAGGCAGCGUUGCUGGGGUUAGACAUAAUAUUCGCAAGCGCCUCCAUUCAGUUCCUGGCGUUCCGCGCACGUCGGCUGGCAUUAACAUUCCGUCCCCGUUACGCUCUUGUGCCUGCUGAGCCAUGUCAGCCUGUGCCAUCAGCAGUGGAGGAUUUGCACUGAUUGUAGAGGCUGCAGUCAUGACAGUCAGAGAUGGUCCCACGUGAUGAUGCCACUGCUGCUGCUAAGAUCUCUGAGGGUCUCUCAGGUCACCCAGACCCCCAGUGACCAUCACAGAUAGGACAGACUGUGGAAAGAUUUGGGGCAUGGUGAGGGCACUCACUUGUUGACCACAAGCGAGUGGCAGUGUGCGUGCCGUCUGUCAGCCCAGCGAUCCCGAGCUCGUCCAGGGCUGCACGCUGGGGAGCCCCAGCGAAGACUGGAACAUGAAGUAUCUGAGAGCGGCCUGAGUCACAAGGUGGAAUUCCUCAGCUCAGUCUUGGCAUCUGCAAUUAUCAGACUUGGGAACUUUUUCAGGGCAGAACCCAAGAUGCUGCCCGGGUCUUUGGGCCCCACGGAGGGAAGUCCUGGGAGUACAGGUGUGGGCCAGAAAAGGCUCUGUCUCUCCUUUUCGCUUUUCCUCUUCAGACCUCAGGUACAACAAAGCGAGUGAUGCUGUUUGCCAGCUCCUGCCACACUGUCCCCGCUGGCCACUCUGCAGCCCUGUAUGUAUCCUCUCUCGCCCCACCAGCCGCCUGUUCUCUGCUCUGCCACCACCAGCUGCUCCAGCGGCUCUGGCACGGAUCUGAAAAUUUGUAUGUUUCCUCCCAGAAUAGGUCGCACCGUUGUGUGCAUUUCCAGUUUGCUCACGUGGCGUGCUGCUGGGGCCCUCGUUCUGGGCUUUUCUCAGCAUCACAUCGAGGCUGCGGCGUGUGGCUGUGCACACCUGCGCGUUGCUUCUGUUACUGUUGGUUGUGUUUCUCGGUUCCCCCAGACGGGCCCCGGGUGGCUUCUUACUCCCCACCACUUCCAAACGACGCUUUGAGAAAUCUCCCUUUAUACUGCACUUAUGGUCCAGUGUGAGGACUUCUCUGGCAUAGAUACUUGGAGUGGGAUUACUGGGUCACGCAGUGUACUAUAUUUAAUUUGACCGAAUAUCGUUAGCUAACUCAAAAAUAUAGUAGUUUUAAAAGCAUAAGGAACCUGAAUCGUGCUUGCUUCUGGAAAGCAAAUUCCUUGUGUUGAGUGUCUGUCAUGCUCCGGGCCAGCUCUGGUUUUGCUCCACAGGCAUUGUCUCAUUUGGCCACACAAUAAUCCUCAGAGACGGACGUUCUUAGUGUCACCUUUGCACAGGUGACGAAAUUGAGAUCCGGGCAGGUGGAGUACUUUGUUCAGUUUCUUUGGCUGCUAGCCCUGGCCGCAGUAGAUUUGUGGACAGUAUUUUAGAUUGUCAAGCCUCUAAUUAGAUCUCGGGCCUUAAAUCGGUGGUUCUAUGUGGCCUGCGCUUUGUGUUUUAUUUGAUUCAUGUGGUCUUUAAAUUUUUAAAAAAUAAUUUUCAAUAUUUUAAAAUCUGAGAUUUAACAUAAAAAUCUCGGCGACCAGGCAGGAGUGGCCCCACUUCCCCACAAGGCAGCAGCUGCCAGGAAUAAAGCAGUGGCUGCCCCUUCCCAGCCGGCCCUGUCCACACGGGCCGCUUCGCUGUCUGCUACCCACCCGCCCCUGCCGCUGCUAGACUUUGCCAGUCCUGGAAGAGAUGUGUUUGUACCUGGGCAGUGUCUUUUUUUCCCUCUGAGUUACUCCCAUUAAGCAUGAGCCAGCCUUUCCUCUGCCUCUGCCCAGCCCCAGCCGUCCAGCCUGCGGUUCCCCCCAGCUGCAAAGUUGGAAACAGUGAAAAAUAGGCUUCAGCGGCAACGAGCCUGCUGCUCUCCUACCGGGGGAUCAUUUGCCGUGUCCUGCCGAGGCCCAGCCUGUGCCAGGCACCGUGACGGGAAGAGGAGGCAUUGCAGGCAGGCUCCUGACCCCGGGGAGACAGCCCAUCUCGAACAAAGGAACUCUCCCACAGACGGGGCUCUGCUGAUACACAUAAAGGCGCACAUUCAUCCAAUCACAAAUAUUUAUCGCUGCAGCAAGAGGAAAGUUUUUAGAACAGUGGCAUUUGGUUCACCCUGUGUGAACUGCAGGACUAGUUUGUUUUUCAUUUCUGUUUUUAGCAAAGCCUAAGUCUCCUGCCGUCGUGAGUGCAUUGGUCCCGAGAGAAGGACAGCAUCAUGCUUGAAAGCUCAGGUGCUGCACUCAGACAGGUGUGGUUCUGCCGCUCAGCCGGGUCACCGUGGAGAAGGCACUUCGUCACUUGGAGCCUCAGUUUCCUUAUGUGCUAAAGGCAGACGUUCGUGUCUGCUUUAUAAAGGUGUCGAGGAAUAUGUCAAGAUGAUGCAGGUGAACGCUUCAGGGCACCUGGCACACAGUAGGCUUGCAAUGACGGGUCUUCCUGUUGUCAUUACAGGAAGCAUGUGGGAGGAGGGUGUAAGUGGCCCUCCAGGCCCGUGUGGAGCUUCUGUUCCUGCUCUGAAACAGACACACUUUCUGUCUCAUGUUCGCAGUGAAGGUUUGAUGUGGGUACAUUUGGUUAUAGAUGGGGUGGGGGUGGUAGUCAGGAUUUAUUUUCUUUCUCACAGUUGGCACAAUCCAGUGACACCAUGUGAGUGCUGCUGUAUGGUCUCCAAGCUCUUUCCAGGGUGUCCCCUCCUUGAGCUGCCCAGCCUUGGGGGCUGUGGUCUGUCUUCCGAGACUUCACUGUAGGAUCGGGCUGGGCCCGGGGUCUGCGGCUGUCCUGUGGGACUGAAGGACUUGGGGUUGUGUGUUGCAGGUGGGCCAGGAAACCACGGACAGUGUUGGGCAGGGCAGAGAAAAGAUCUGGCCGCUUAUCAGUGGCUCAGAGCGCUCACGCAGGGUGUCCGCCUUGCACUGGGCGCUGCGGAUGGAUACGGCCGUGAGUGAGGCGCCGCAGGACCUUGCGGCCAUGGGAGAGUUAGGUGUGGCCGGACUGCAGUUGGUCCAGGCCCCGAGUGCAGUGAGCAGCGGCUUUGCCUAGGGGAAUUGGGGAGGCGUUUACAUACACUGGACACUGGAGAUUGAGGUUGGGGUAGGAGCAUCUCCCCGGGAUGUGGAGGUACCCAGGGCAGGGAGCCCAGCCCAGGCGAGGGGGUGACACUGGAGAGGCGGGCAGGAGCCCGCAACAAAGGGCCAUGAGCUGUGCUUGGGAACCGGACAUGGAUCCUGAAGGCACCAGGGCGCCACCGAGGGUUUCUCUGCAGGAAAUGAGUGUGGUCGGAUCUUGGAUGUGACCUGCCCCAGGGACCCGAAGUGCCUAUUGCCCAGUCACUCGUAGCGUUCACUGCGGAGGGCCCGGGGAUUUUAUCCUUGGGGUCAAUCCUCAUAGGCCAGGCCCUUCUCAUCCUCGGGGACCCAGAAGCAGCGCUCGGGGGGGCAGCGUGGCCUGUGGGUGAGACGUGAGCUCUGGCGCCUGGCUGCCCGGUUUGAGUCCUGGCUCCAUGACUUUACUCCAGUGUAACUCUCUGUGCCUCAGUUUCCUCAGCUAUGGAGUGGGGAUGGUAAUUCCAGUCUCGUAGAGUGGCGCCUGUACUCGGCACCAGAGCCCACGCGUUCCUCUCCCUUCCCUGCGUGCGGCGACCCCCAGUGCUGUGCCUCCGGCCUCUCUCGCCCCCUCUCGGAACCAACCCUGUGCCCCGUUGCUGGGCUCAGUCUGCACCUGGCGCCGUCCCCGUCACUGACAGGAGCCACCCGACUCCCUUGGCCCUUCCCGCCCACACCCCGCUGAGGCACGUCGUCCCUCCUGUCACGUCUGCUGACAUCCUCCCAUCCCUGGAGACCAGGGUCUCAGUGCCUCCCGCCUCCCGGACACUCUUCCACACGGCCCAGCUAGGAGCGGCUCCACCCUCCACGUCAGGAGCGCUUCUUGCUUCCUGCCGCCCUGUCUUGGUAGUGACCCACAUGUCUGUUGUCCUCCAUGGCCCGUGA